rnacentral:misc_RNA from 1 species
UAGUUCCAGACAUUUAAACUGUCCGAACAGAAAAUUAGUCGUUGGAACAGUAGAAUGCACGAACUACCCAGAGUGAGGGCGUUACAAUUCUCCCCCUCUAAUAAAAAUUUUCGUCUUCGAAAUUUACUCGGUGUAAAUAGUCAAGGAACUACUUCUCCUUAGUCUGUUUUACUAGUUCUGGCCAUUAGAUCUUAUUCUCAACUAGUUUUGUAACUAUCUACUUUUAUUUCGUACAUAGGGUCUAUUAUUACAUAUACUAAAAUUUUAUAAUGAGAAAUAUACCUCUAGCAACGUCUGCCAG